CUAGUGGUAACUGUUUAGGAAUGUAAAUUAUUUUUUAUUCAUUUCUCUCUCAUCUGUGUAAUUUCCCCUCGCCUAGAUGAUUUAAUUAAUUUCAUUUCAGCCCCUGAAGCCAUCAGUUUAUUUCGCGCGUCUUCCCUUCCUUGCCCAUCUACCUUCUGCUCGUCUCCCAUUGUGUGAAUGAGAGCUGCUUCAAAUCUCUACAUUUCCAGUUCAAGCAUUAGUGGGGUCACAAUUGCCUUCUACUCGUCUUCUCCGAUAAGUCCCUGUCGCAACUCCUAUUCCGAGUGGGUUUGGCGAUGGAGUCACAACUGCAUGGAGUCCCUUCCUUCACUACCCUUUUACAGGAGGGGGAAGAAACCUACAAUGACCAACUGAAGCCACUGUGCAGCCAGUUCUAUAAGUUAUGUUUUGAUUUGUUUUUGUAUAGAAUGUAAGCAAAGUUCCCAUGCUAAAUUGUCUUAAUAGUGUAAUGUGUUCUCUCUUUUGGAAAUUAUCAUCGUGGCACACUAGAUUAUGAGUAUUAGCAUGUAUCCAAAGCAGAAAAGAAAAUUGACUGAGAUUGAAGUUCUUAGAAUGUUUGAAUAUUAUUAGUAUGAAUCUUUAUUUUGUGAAUGAAUGAAAUGCGAGUAUUAUUUGAA